AGGAUCUGGGUUUGGGGCGAGGCCCAGGACAGUAGCGGCUCCAGACACCCUUGCUUGAGGCGCAGCAUCUGCACUCCCAGCCCGGCCCUCCUCCAAGCUGGCGUUUCUGCUGCACCCACGGGACGCUCCUGUGCUUCCACAGCACCUGCGAGAGCUGUGGUGUGCUGGCCUUGUCGUAGGUGCAGAGGCCAAGACCGUUUUGCCCAAGAAGGAGAAAAUGAAGCUGAGGCGUGAGCAAUGGUUACAGAAAAUCGAAGCCAUAAAACUGGCUGAGCAGAAGCACAGGGAGGAGCGGAGGCGGAGGGCCACGGUGGUGGUGGGGGACCUGCACCCUCUCAGGGAUGCCCUGCCCGAGCUGCUGGGGCUCGAGGCUGGCAGCCGGCGCCAGGCCCGCAGCAGGGAGAGCAACAAGCCCCGGCCCUCAGAGCUCAGCCGGAUGAGCGCAGCCCAGAGACAGCAGCUUCUCGAGGAAGAAAGGACCCGGUUUCAGGAGCUGCUGGCCAGUCCGGCCUACAGAGCCAGCCCCCUGGUGGCCAUCGGGCAGACGCUGGCCCGGCAGAUGCAGCUGGAAGAUGGCGGCCAGCUCUGACCAGGGCAGCGGGCUUGCCACAACUCCUCAGGACACGUGUGGGCCAAGUAGAGAGCGCCGGCCCCUCAAGGACCAUGGCCUGAGCCUGGUGGACGCCCUUCCCUCUGGUCGGUUGUGGGGCUCAAUAAAUGGCUCUGUGAACUUCCCCUGCACUGCCAGGGCCGUUCCCA
rnacentral:sRNA from 1 species